rnacentral:tRNA from 1 species
GCCGCAAUCGCCGCGCGGAUGAGCGGCAGCGUGGUCGCGUCCCGCUCCGGGUCGGUGAGAUUGUUGGCCGGCGGUUCCGGCCCGUCAUAGUGGUGC